CCAAUGCCCUCGACAGGGCUUAACUAUCCUAAAGAAGUGCAAUGCUACAUUCAAAGCGUGUUAGCAGUGUCCCUUCCGUGUGAAGUGAAGCCACAAGGAGACGAGCCUCCACGCAUCACGGAGCAUCACGGAGCAAGGGCCCUGCGCACCUGUGCAAAAACAGAUACGACCCCGUCACACUCCACACUCCCGAUUUCCCGCCUCCCAAGUCUCCUCCAGUCUUGCUCCCUUGUUUUACGUGUCCAACCCAGCACCUCACCUAACUGCCUUGCGGUCGGCUGCUGGCAGCACAUUCCUCCACACCCUCCAGCCUUCACCUAGUCUGUUCCCUCUACCCAAAAUGCUCUUCCAUUUCCUUGCUACUGAACUAUUUCUACCCAUCCCCCGAGACUCCCUGUGACUCUCGCUGGAGCUGCCCCUCGCUGGGGCUGUCCUUUGCGCCCCGUAGCAUUUCAUCCUCCACUCCACCAGAGCAGGUAUGAUGCUACAGUGUAUUUGUCUACCUGCUCCUUCUUCCCAGAGUCCCAGAGUCUUUCAAGGAAGGGUGAGACACCCUACUCAUCUCUGUACCCCACCCCAUCCCCAGCACCCAACUCUUGCAUCAGAUGCCGAAUGAAUGAAAUACUAUGGGGCAAGAAUGCAGGCAGUUCUUUUCAGAGAGAAAAUACUGAUAACAACCUUGCAUCUUGUGUUAAAAGGCCAAAAGGUUCUAUCCGUAAGAAGUGAAGGAAGCCAGUCCUUUCAAGAGCAGAUUUUGUUACAGAACGACAGGUCCAUUUCCACAGACAUAAGCGCUGUGCAAGUAUCCUCUUCCGACCGGGAGGCUGAAAAGCUUUUCCAAGGUUUUGGUCUCCUUGACAACAGCAGUGCCAGAGACAAGUAGGGAAGUAAUUAAAAAGUAUGUUCCCUUCGCCUCGAACUUCGCAAGUGUUUUUAAGCAAUGAUGAACAGUCCACGCUCAGUGUGGACGGCGUCAGUAUGGACCGAGCCGAGGGCAAUGCGGGGACAUGCCAUCCUGUCCCCCCAUCCAGCGCCCCUCCUCCGAACGUGGAAGCCCAAGUGAAGGAGCCAAGCCCUCCGCCCAGGACGACAUUCACCGCAGGAACCACAGCCCAUACAGGGCAGAUUCACAACUGCACCUUCCAAGUGCCGGGUCCCACAGGUCAAACACUGCCGCGUGUGAUCCUUACAAGGGCUCUUCGGACUCUUUGAGCUGGCUCUCCUCCAGGAACUCGAGAUACAACAAUCAGGAGAACAACGUCCCUGCAUCGUGGAACUUAUAUUGGAGUUCUUCCCAUUUUGUAGGUGAACUAAUUAAGACUCCAAAAGAUUAACGACCUUGCCCACAUUCACAUGACUACCUUCCGGAACUCCCAAGCAGGAAGCUGACACAGAACCGCCCCAGAACACAGAGGCAGAAAACACCCCACCGGCACCUGAGGACAGCCACCGUGUUCCCCCGCCUGUCCCUGUCACCAGGCUGACGGCAUCAUGGCAAGACUCCAAGGAGCCAGGACAUUUCAAACACACUUAAAUGAGAGCAAAGAACAUGCAAAGAGACCAGGACGAAAACAAACAACUUUUCUAACCAAAGGUUACAAUGAAAAUGUGUUUUAAUUUGUGUUUCUGUACCUUUCAAAAUAACACUUCAACUAGUUCAGAAAGAGACCACUUGUGUUUAUAAAAGCUCUUCAGUUUUCCCCGCAGUUGUCGGGCUGUGUAAACACACUGUGAGCAGGGAGAGAAAUUGCUCCUUGUGAUACUGUUAAUGCUGGCUUGUAUGCGAAUUAGAAUUCUAAACUCAGCAGGUUAAAAAUGUUCUGAAAGCAAUUUUGGUGUUAGUCUAAAUAAUUAUAGAUCACAUUCACUUAGAGAAGGGCCUUUGCCCCUUCGGGGCUCCAAGGGAAAAUUCUAGGCAUGAUAGUUAAGCAGAAUAGUUGGUUAUCACGCAGGCUUUGCAGUGGCAGUGCAAAUUGGCAUAAUCCUUUUGGAAAGCAAUCUGACGGGAGACGUAUCUGGACCCGUGAAAACAUACGAGCCUUUGACCCAGCAGUCCUACUUCUGGGAAUGAAUCCGAAAGAAAUAAUCCAACAGAAAAGGAUUUCAUGCAUGAAGAUAACCACUUCACCAUUAUCUAUAAUAGCAAAAAUUAGAAACCACCUAAGUGUCCAAGGACGGCUAAGUAAAUUACAGUUAAUCAACUCGAUAGAGCAUCAUGGAACCAGCACAAAUUGACGGCCCUGCAAAGACACAGAGGCGGCUGGUGGCGCUGCGGCGGGAGAGGCUGGGAGAGAACGUGACGUGGGAGAAGCAGGCUGCAAAAGUGUGUGCGCGCUCUGUGAGAAACACAAGGCCGUGCAGACCAGAAAUUGGUGGGAGCGUGUUAAAAGGAUAAUCACAAUUGAGGUGUAUGUUGGAACUGGGAGACUCACCGCCGCCGUUUUGGAAUGCUGCCA